GCACGCUUUGCCAGUAAAAACCAAUGACGGCUUUCGUGUUAUAUAUAAACCACAUGGUCACUUUUGUCGCCCUACACUUUUGAUUAUGCUCGCUCUGUUAAUAAGAAGGGCGUUAAGUUUGCUAAACUUUUUAACAAGGAAUACUACGGAAACCGUUUUCCCUUUUUGGACUUACCACUGUUUUCGUCUUAUUUAAACACACGCAUUAUAUUCAGAGGGAACUUCCAAUUCUUAAAUUUAUACUAUGUUCAUACUGACCUCUCUUCAUUUCUACAUAUAUGCUUGAUAGCAAACUUCUUAUCGGCGCUUGCUUUCUAAACUUGUUUCCUCUUGGUAGACCACACUGCACUUAAAUUAAACUGCUUUCUCUUCCAGGCCUUCUUUGCUGGAGAUGUCGCAGAUUCAUUUAGAAAGCACUCUUGGUUUCUGUUCUCUUGAUUUAAAAUUUGUCACUUUUGGGAAGGUCAACUAUCACUAUCUAUUUUAAAUAUUAUUGACCUAGUGAGCGCUUAUAAUAUUGAAGAGUUUCAUAAGUUAAUAUUCUUUGACUUGAUUUGGAAUUUAAGAAGCAAGUCUCUGGGGAAUAGUGCACACGAAGUGCCCAUUGCAAAUCACUUUUUUAACCUUAGCGAUUCCCAGCCUGCCUUUCUAUCAUCAACUUUUACUUAUAUUGAUUCCAUUGCUUUUAUUAUUAUGUUUAAUAAGAGAGGUCGACCUGAUAAUCUUUAUUUUCAACUCUUAUAUUUUAUCCAAUUUUAUAACUCUUUGGAAUUCUUCUCCUCCUUUUGGAAAUGUGCCCCAUCUAAUAUAAAAACCAACUAUGAAACUCACCGUAUUACUGGAAAAUUAUCUCUUCUUCAACUCUCAAAUGUUUUUUUGUCCUAAAAAUAUAAAACCCCUUUCUCUACCUUCAAUGCUUUAAUAACUAUAAUAAUUAAAAGUUAUAAGUUAUACCUAAAAUUAUCUAAUACCUGAACCUUAGCCUCUUCAAAUUUUCGAAGCACCCAUACCCAUUCAAAUUUUUGUAAAAAUUAUUGAUUCAAUUUUUAUUGAUGGCGCUUUUCUCCAAAGUUCCCGCUUGGAAAUUAAUCCACUUUAUUUUUCUCUAUUCUUGCUCCUAACUCCGGUACUAUUACUCCUCUCAUUAAAAACUAAAAGUUCCCUUCAAAAAUCUUGGUCCUGACAACGUUAACCGUUACAGUACUCAGCUAACCUGUUUUAGACUCUACAACAGUGGUUUCGUCCCCAUAACUCUCUAAGCUUACUAACGAGUAUCUAUUAUGGUUACUCCUCCCUUUCCGAAAACGGCUAGAGCUGCGUGAAACUGAAGAAAUUUAGUGUUCCUAAGGGUUGCAAUUUCUCUAUUUCUCAUACGGAUACCCGUACAUCGUGACCUACCCUUUUGCCAUACCAUCGAUUGUAUCGAGCAUUUCGAGAGGAAUCUUGAAAAGCUUACCUUCUCCUGUUGUAAAACGUCAGGUUCCCCACGAUAAGAUACUAUUGAAGGAAUUUCUUUGGAAAGAGGGUUGUAGUGUCCAGUUACUCCCCAAAUCACUUUCAAGUUUGCCGUGUUCAUUUCGAACAGGCCUUGUAUUCCUGAUUCUUCCUCGCGAUACAAUUAAAGGUCUUCCAGAAGAGAAAGUUGACUUAUUGCAAAACUUUAUUUAACUGGACGUAUUAUAAUAAAAGA